GAUCAUGGCUCAGGAUGAACGCUAGCUACAGGCUUAACACAUGCAAGUCGAGUGGGCAGCAUCAUCAAAGCUUGCUUUGAUGGAUGGCGACCGGCGCACGGGUGAGUAACACGUAUCCAACCUGCCGACAACACUGGGAUAGCCUUUCGAAAGAAAGAUUAAUACCGGAUGGUAUAGUUUUCCCGCAUGGGAUGAUUAUUAAAGAAUUUCGGUUGUCGAUGGGGAUGCGUUCCUA
rnacentral:rRNA from 1 species